AAAUAUAUAUAUUUAUAUAUUAAAUAGUUUUAUUAAAUUAAUUAAAGAAAAGAAAGAAAAGAAAGGACAAAAAGAAGAAAAGGAGAAGAAAAUUUCAUUUUCUCUUUUCUUCUUCUUCUUCUCUUCCCUUCACCGCCAAGAGUUUGAAGACAUCCAAGUUCCCUUUAUUUUUUUUUCUUUUUCCUUCUUCAAUUUGCAGAGAACUUCUAAGAGAGAGUUUGGAAGAAGAAGAGAAAUUUUACUAGAAUUUUUAGGUUGAAGAAGAGGAGGAGAACUCAAGCAAAGUGUAUCAAUGGCUGAAUUUUAGUUCAUUCUGCACAUCACUGGUUUUUAAUUCGAACGUUGGAGCAAAUUCGGAUAUUCAUUUGGUGCUUUUUGAUGAAGAAAACAGGGCAGUUGGUUUUCACUCGAAAUCAGGAGGUCUCUGGUUUUUCUUGUAUUUCAGAGUGUAUCGGUGGAGUUAGAAUCUCUAUUUGGAACAAGUUAAAGAGGUCGUGUGGGCGCGAUUCUGGAAGUGGUCCUGUUUUGAGGGUUAUAUGUGUUUAUGCACGGGGAAUCAGAUUUAUAUGUCUUCAGGCCGAGAAGAAUUAAACCGAGCUUAUAGACCAAGGAUCUAGCCCAAGACUGUAGAGAUCGACUUCCCGGUGCCUGAUAGACUGCCUUAGUCUGCUGAAGCUCCAUUAUGGAUUGCCAGUACGUGUUUUGAGUUGGGCAUAGAGUCUGUUGUGUUGUGAUGUAUAUACACCCUUGUAUGUUAUAGAUACUCCACAGUUUGUAUCAGCUUUAGGAGCUGUAGUUGUGUAAAUUUUGUUGGUUAUAUUUUGAUUAAGGUGUCUUUAGGUUUACUCGUGAAAUCGGUAAAUUUUGAGGUACACUUCAUGUAUGUGUUUGACUAGCUGUGUUUGACUAGCCUAGGAUCCGCUGUGUUUUGUGGCAUGUACAAUAGUUUAUAUACUAGAUUGGCAAGUUCA